UUUUAGUAAGGUAACCUUUUUAUGUGUGUGGGUGUGCACAAGUCAUAGCAUACAUGUGGAGGUCAGAGGACAACUUGCUGAACCCAUUCUCUCCUAGUAUGUGGGUUCCAGGGAUCAUUCUUUGGUUGCCAGACUCGAUGCCCUAAUUACCCAACUUCAUAAAAGUUCAACCACUUCUCAAAUUACUACAGGAGACCAAGACUACAAAUGAACUUGGGAUCACAGUGGAAGCCCUAGCCUGCUGCCCUCCUUGAAACUCUCGGGGCAUAUUAAACACCCUCAGCUCCAGUCCUGUGCCCUUUCCAUGACCUGCAAUGCUCUCCCCUUACGCACACAGGAGGAAGAAAGACUCCUUUGAACUCUUUAGGCAUCACAAUCUGAAGCCCCACCGAUGACACUUGGUGUGUUGUUUAUGGUCCGACUCUCCCAGUGAUAACGACUGUUGGAAAUAAGGACUUUGAUCACUUCUAGUCAUUCUUCAAGCCUCAGCUCCUGGAACUUCGCCUGAUACUCAGUAUGUGCAGGGGGAUGGAGGAGAGAUAACGCGUCUCUCACAGGGCAGAGUGGAGACGACUGUAAGUGAUGGGAGGAAGGUGUUUGAGAGGGGAGGAAAGAAAACCAUUUUGACGUAGACCAGUAAAUGAAACGUUACUUAAGAGUUUCCUGCUCUCGAUGUGAGCCCCUCAGGAAAGGAAAAUGCUGUA